UACGUAGGCAGCAAGCGUUGUUCGGAAUUACUGGGCGUAAAGAGUGUGUAGGCGGUGCUCUAAGUUCGGUGUGAAAUCUCCCGGCUCAACUGGGAGGGUGCGCCGAAAACUGGAGUGCUGGAGCGCGGGAGAGGAAAGCGGAAUUCCUGGUGUAGCGGUGAAAUGCGCAGAUAUCAGGAGGAACACCGGUGGCGAAGGCGGGUCUCUGGGCCGUAACUGACGCUGAGGAGCGAAAGCGUGGGGAGCGAACAGG
rnacentral:rRNA from 1 species